UUUUAAAUAUGCGAAAAUGUUUUCUCCUUUUUGCUUUCCACAAAUGCCCCAAAUACUUGCAAUUAAUAUCAACUAUGUCCUACACCUCUUCUCAACUGACACAAUACAUGGGCUCCAACCAAAACAAUACAACCUGAAUGACGGUAACAAGUGACAAAUGGCUCCCAAUAAGCAACCUUCAAUCCUUCUUUGCAAUGGUUCGCCUCUAUAAAUGAGAAAUUCGAAUUCCCCUUCACGUUUAUCUUCAGAUUCCUCACCACCAACAUUACAUCCCCCCCAAAAAAAGGGCAAAUUAACACUAGGGAGAAGAAUUUGAAGUGCUGAGGUUGCCAGUUUGUUGUAAAGGCAAGAGAACCACAAGAACUUCCAACAGCUAUCUCCAUAUGAGAUUCUGUGUGUUAAAAAAAAAGAUGGACGAAACAGAAGGUUUGAGUUGCCUUGGAGUCGAUGAAAUUGGCAAGUGGUGAUUUCGUCAAAGGAAGGGAUAUGCUGAUUUACACCUGAACAGAGAGCGGAUAUAUUCAAAAGACCAAGCAAAAUAGGAAGAGGAAAAGCAAUGUGCAUAAUACAUCUCCAAACAUAAAUCAUGGUUGUGAAAUCCUAGAUGGACAAGUACAAAUUCCAUUUCCAGAUACACCAUCGGAGGGCCACCAAAUUGAGACCCAAACCAUUGAUUGGGUUCGUGCUGGCUUCCAAGCUAAUUGGAAAUGAUAGUGGAUGGCGCUUGAAAUAUGAUGAUAGAAGCUUGGGUUGUUACAAGCAAUGGGCAACAUCAAAGAAACAAUUGUUCCCUUUUCGCCAUAUCAGCAACAAAAGUGGAAGCAAUGGCCUGUUUGAAGCAUUAACAUUGAUAACGUUACCAUUUAUAUUGAUACAUAAGAGGUGAUAAAUGGUUUAUGGUGUGUUUCAAUUCUAGCCCCUGUUGUUCUACAACCUGCGAUUGAAGAUAUUAUAUGGCUGUUUAGCAAUUUCAGUUAUGUUUUUAUUAGUAAAGUUCAUCAAGGUAAUGUAAGUAAGAUCAACUCAUAUGCUGGCUAUUGCUGCCUUUAGAAUGGGGCCAACUAUUUAUGUUGUAUUGUACAGUUAUUGAUAUGAUGAUCCAUGUUACUAAAAAAAGUCAUUUGAGCAAUGACAAUACAAUUUUCAAUUGCUCCGUGGAAA